rnacentral:rRNA from 1 species
CCUACGGGAGGCUGCAGUGGGGAAUAUUGGACAAUGGGGGCAACCCUGAUCCAGCGAUGCCGCGUGAGUGAAGAAGGCCUUCGGGUCGUAAAGCUCUUUAGGUUGGGAAGAAGUGUGCUUAGUGAAUAGCUAGGCAUGUUGACGGUACCGACAGAAUAAGCACCGGCAAACUCUGUGCCAGCAGCCGCGGUAAUACAGAGGGUGCAAGCGUUAAUCGGAAUUACUGGGCGUAAAGGGCGCGUAGGUGGAUUGCCAAGUCCGUGGUAAAAUCUCCGAGCUUAACUCGGAAACUGCCGUGGAUACUGGUAGUCUUGAAUACCGUGGAGGUCAGCGGAAUAUGUCAUGUAGCGGUGAAAUGCUUAGAUAUGACAUAGAACACCAAUUGCGAAGGCAGCUGGCUACACGAAUAUUGACACUGAGGCACGAAAGCGUGGGGAUCA